rnacentral:rRNA from 1 species
AGAACGAACGCUGGCGGCAUGCCUAAUACAUGCAAGUCGAACGAACUCUUCGGAGUUAGUGGCGCACGGGUGCGUAACGCGUGGGAAUCUGCCCCUUGGUUCGGAAUAACAGUUGGAAACGACUGCUAAUACCGGAUGAUGACGAAAGUCCAAAGAUUUAUCGCCAAGGGAUGAGCCCGCGUAGGAUUAGCUAGUUGGUGAGGUAAAGGCUCACCAAGGCAACGAUCCUUAGCUGGUCUGAGAGGAUGACCAGCCACAUUGGGACUGAGACACGGCCCAAACUCCUACGGGAGGCAGCAGUGGGGAAUCUUGCGCAAUGGGCGAAAGCCUGACGCAGCCAUGCCGCGUGAAUGAUGAAAGGUCUUAGGAUUUGUAAAAAUUCUUUACACCGGGGACGAUAAAUGACGGUACCCGGAGAAGAAGCCCCGGCUAACUUCGUGCCAGCAGCCGC